GCCAGUUUGUGUCUCUAGUAGUAUGUGCGAACGGUACAUAAAAAAAAAACUAGCAUUUGUGUUAGUGUAGGUGAUUUUGAUCGGUUCGUUAUCUUAUAGUUUAAUCUUGUAAGGGAGGUUAGUGAGUUUAGCAUUGGUAUGUUUGUACAUGAGUUUGAAUAGUCUAUUUGACGUUCGUGUGUUGAAUGGAGAACCCACAUAUGAAUUGAUAGGUUAGCAAACCGUUAAACCCACGACAUACCAAACGUGCUUAAAAUAUUAAAGCAAAGCGCGAGCUGGCACGAAAACCCACAUGGAGUAAAAAGGAACGUACAUCAAAUAUGAGAA